CUCGUUCUUCUCGCUCCGUUCCUCUUUCCCUCCUCCCCUCCGUCUUGGUUCUUCACACCUGGUUCUUCUGUCUCCCGUUGUCUCUAUCGUCUGCUCCGGUGAACCCGCAUCGUUCCUAUUCCUUGUGCUGCUUCCGUCGUCGGCUCCAGUAAAUCACUUUGUUCGCCAGCUCGAGAUCGUGGACGGCUUGCUAAAAUCAGUUACCAUAAACAUGAGAGCAUUCUCAGUGACAAAUAGAGCAUUUUCUAUUCUCUCUAUAUUAACAAACCAUGGAAGACAAUCCUCAGUACCAUCUUCCCUACUUACCUACCCCGAACAACAUCUUAUCACAAGAUGACGUACUUGGCCUUACAACCACGCACCAGCGACAUCAUUUUCCAAAUUAUCCACUUCUAGCAGCCAAACAAACAUGGCCCGACGAUUGCUAGCAUAUCCCGGUGUGCCACAGAAUACAGAGGCGGAUGAACACUACACAGAUCAACUUAACAAGAAGGAGCUAUCCUCACCAUCGAAAAUGAUGAAGCACACCCAAGUUGACAAAGUCCUAGAUUCUAUAAUUCCAGAAAAAUGAAGCUUGUUACAUCCUCAUGACAUGCAUGAAGGAAUUUGCUUUUGCGUAUCUGUGGAGGGCUUCGUCACUUUUGAAUGAAAAAACAUCUAUGUACAUAUAAAUCACUUGGUGAAGCCUUUCUCAGGCAUGUGUGUUGAUGCAACCUCUGGGAAACAAAUGCUAUCAGCUGCUGACAUAUGCUACUUCAAUACUGCUUGAUAUGUAUUGCACUCUCAGUUCCGUCUACUGUUGGUCCAAACUGCAUCUGUGUAUAUACAGACGAGUUGUAUUAAACUUUCUAAAUCUGUGUAUACUAAUGCAACCUCUUGAAAACAGUUGUUAGCCCUUGACACGUAUGCUAUUUUAAUGCUACUUAAUAUGUAUUGCAAUUUGGUUUUCCUGUA